UAGAAACAUUUGGGGUGCGUAAAAGCUGAGAUAAUACCCAUUGAAUCUGCUCCAGUUAGUACUGGCGAAGAGAAAUGUAUUCAAUGAACG
rnacentral:ncRNA from 2 species